rnacentral:rRNA from 1 species
AGAGUUUGAUCAUGGCUCAGGACGAACGCUGGCGGUAUGCCUAACACAUGCAAGUCGAACGAGAUCUUUUUUUUUCUUUACGUUCACGUAACGAUGAAAAAGAUUGCAGUGGCGGACGGGUGAGGAACACGUAAGAACUUACCUUUUGGCGGGGGAUAACAUCGGGAAACUGUUGCUAAUACCCCAUAAUGCUGAGGAGCGAAAGGGAAACUGCCAAAAGAGAGGCUUGCGUCUGAUUAGCUAGUUGGAGGCGAUUAAUGCUCCCCAAGGCGACGAUCAGUAGCUGGUCUGAGAGGAUGAUCAGCCACACUGGGACUGAGACACGGCCCAGACUCCUACGGGAGGCAGCAGUGGGGAAUUUUCCACAAUGGGCGAAAGCCUGAUGGAGCAAUACCGCGUGAGGGAUGAAGGAUCGUGGUCCGUAAACCUCUUUUCUUAACGAAGAAGUACUGACGGUAGUUAAGGAAUAAGCACCGGCUAACUCCGUGCCAGCAGCCGCGGUAAUACGGGGGGUGCAAGCGUUGUCCGGAAUGAUUGGGCGUAAAGCAUCUGUAGGUGGUUUUUAAAGUCGACUGUUAAAGCCCAGGGCUCAACUUUGGAGAAGCGGUCGAGGACUUAGAGACUUGAGUUUGGUAGGGGUAGAGGGAAUUCCUAGUGGAGCGGUGAAAUGCACAGAGAUUAGGAAGAACACCGAGGGCGAAAGCACUCUACUGGGCCACAACUGACACUGAGAGAUGAAAGUCGGGGGAGCGAAAAGGAUUAGAUACCCUUGUAGUCCCGACCGUAAACGAUGGAUACUAAGUGCUGGCAAAACCAGUGCUGCAGCUAACGCGUUAAGUAUCCCGCCUGGGGAGUAUGCUCGCAAGAGUGAAACUCAAAGGAAUUGACGG